CUAUUACUCCCUCCGUUCGGAAUUACUUGUCCAAGAAAUGAAUGUACAUAGAUAUAUUUUAGUUAUAGAUACAUCCAUUUUUGUGACAAGUAAUUUUGAACGGAGGAAGUAGUUA
rfam:Triticum aestivum genome assembly, contig: Triticum_aestivum_CS42_TGACv1_scaffold_501501_6BL